rnacentral:rRNA from 1 species
CCCGGGCGACCGGCGCACGGGUGAGUAACACGUAUGCAACCUGGCCGUGACAGAUGGAUAACCGGGAGAAAUCCCGCCUAAUACAACAUAAUGCCGGGAGGGGACAUCCCCUGCCGGUCAAAGGGGGCGACCCCGGUCAUGGAUGGGCAUGCGGCGCAUUAGGUAGUUGGUGGGGCAACGGCCCACCAAGCCGACGAUGCGUAGGGGUUCUGAGAGGAAGGUCCCCCACAUUGGAACUGAGACACGGUCCAAACUCCUACGGAAGGCAGCA